rnacentral:lncRNA from 1 species
CAUCAUUUUAAGUAAUGUUUAUUCAAAGGGUUUGUAGUAACAGUGGUAUAUGCUUUUAUAAUGUGUAUGCAGAAUUGAACAUAUAAUCUCAAUUAUGUAAAAAUACGUUUGACAAAAAAACUGAAAGGAAGUACAUAAGAAAGUUCUAAUGUUACCAUUGUGUGUUAUGGUUAUAGUAAUUUAUUUUUUCUUGAAAUUUUAUCGGUUUCUGUGUUUUCUAUCUUGAGGAUUUAUUUAUGUCCUGUUACAGGAAGGAUUUUAGGCUACAUUCACAAGAUGACAAUAUGUCGUAACAUAAUUAUGCAACAAGCCAUAUAGUUAAAUAUUUUAACUUAAGCUUUUUUGAUAAAGAGAAGCUUCUUAUUUCUGGUAUCUGUGAAAAGACACAUUCUUGAAAAUUUUUAUUUCUUUGUAAUAAGAGCAGAGGAGAAUUUCUCUUCAAGAAAAGAUGUAUAAUGGAUAUUAGCAUUUCUUUUUUUGUUUUGUUUUUUAUUAUUAGUUGUUCAAAACAUUAUAUAGUUCUUGACAUAUCAUAUUUCAUACAUUUGAUUCAAGUGGGUUAUGAACUCCCAUUUUUACCCCAUACACAGAUUGCAGAAUCACAUCGGUUACAAUCCGUUUUUACAUACUGCCAUACUAGUGUCUAUUGUAUUCUGCUGCCUUUCCUAUCCUCUACUAUCCCCCCUCCCCUCCCCUCCCAUCUUCUCUCUCUACCCCAUCUACUGUAAUUCAUUUUUCCCCCUUGUUUUUUUCCCCUUUCCCCUCUCUUCCUCUUAUAUGUAAUUUUGUAUAACAAUAAGGGUCUCCUUCCAUUUCCAUGCAAUUUCCCUUCUCUCUCCCUUUCCAUCCCACCUCUCGUCCCUGUUUAAUGUUAAUCAUCUUAUGCUCUUCCUCCCUGUUCUGUUCUUAGUUACUCUGCUUAUAUCAAAGAAGACAUUUGGCAUUUGUUUUUUAGGGUUUGGCUAGCUUCACUUAGCAUAAUCUGCUCUAAUGCCAUCCAUUUCCCUGCAAAUUCCAUGAUUUUGUCAUUUUUUUAGUGCAGAGUAAUACUCCAUUGUGUAUAAAUGCCACAUUUUUUUUUUAUCCAUUCAUCUAUUGAAGGGCAUCUAGGUUGGUUCCACAGUCUAGCUAUUGUGAAUUGUGCUGCUAUGAACAUCGAUGUUAGCAUUUCUUUUUUAAUUGUGGGAAAUACUUUUCUAAACACUUUAUGAAAUUCUAAGGAAGAGAAAAAUUUCACCAUAUAAAAGUAAAACAUCAUAAAGAAAGAAAAAAGACCAGUUGAGAAAAAAUAGAUAUGUAACAGACAAAAAAGAAAGGAAAAAAC